AAAUAAGAAAAGAAAAGGAAGAAGAAGAAGAAAGAAGAAGGGAAUCGACCAUAGAGUUUCAUCAGAGCCUGUUCUUAGCAUUUUGAGGCCGAAAUGAUGAUCAGCUCACCGGGAUCUUCGAUUUGAGGAUUUGAAAGGAGUGUUGGUGAAGAUCUAGAGUUUUUGAGAGUUCUUGAGCUAAAUGAGUGAAAUUGGGGUUUCAUUGGUGUUCUUGAGAAAAGAGGUUACACUCGUUAUACGCAUACCCAAACAUCGGAUCUCCUACGUACCGGGUGCAAGCACUGCGUACUUAUACAAGUGAUUUUGCAAGUUACCAGCCUGAAGAUCAAGAAUCGGAUCUUACUGUUGAGUUUUCCUCCAAGGACUGGUGGGUCCCUGAUGAGUUUGAGCACGGUGCUGAUUGCACGUGGGAGGAUUGUGCUGCAUAGCAG